CUCACACACCGAAGGCACAACCCUCGGGAGCAAUUUGGGGUUCAGUGUCUUGCCCAUGGACACUUCGACAUGUGGGCUGGGGGAAGCUGGGAUCGAACCGCCCACUUUCCAAUUGGUAAACAACCCACUCUAGCACUAAGCUACAGCCACACCAGUCGUGAGGGCAUGUUAGUGCAUGUGAGUCCCUUGUGUGAAGCGUUUGUCUGUGAGGAGAGCUGUUUUUUUUUUCUCAUCUAACACGGUGAAUUAAGGAUUUAUUUCGAACAAACCAGAGUUGGUGAUUGUUAGAACGAAAGAAACGAAAGACUAACAAAGACGGUUUUGAUGGACUGCAAAUUUUAACUGGCAGUCCUUGUCACAUCAAGGGUAUGCUAAGAGAAGAAAGCCAGAAUAUACCUUCUCCUGAACCUCCUGCUUUUCUUUGAGGGCCUCCUCCAGCUGGGCUUGUAGGUCACUGAUCUGAGCCAGGUUCUGGGCCGACUGGAACCACAAAAACACAGGAAAGAAGCAAAGUCAGCGAGCAAUAUAAUACCAUAGUAGAUGAAGCACUCUGCUACAGCGAGUCCCAUCGGGAAUUCAGCUGCUUCAAUUUAGACAAGAAGGAUGGAUUCAUUUGGAGCCAGUGGAGGCAGAUCAUUCCAUCAGUGAUGGAAAGGAAGCGCUUUUACUCCACUUUCAUUUCCACUUGCUGCUCAUCUACAGCUCCAUUAAUAUUAAUGGGGGGCCACUCUGAGGUUGCCAAAUACCACCGCUUUUCAAAAAUGACUCAACUGGCAGGGAUGGAUGGUGUUAAAACAAUUUAAUGUAAAGCUUGAUCCAGGGAUUUUUCCUUUUUCAGAUGAACUUGGGAUUGCUUUUUGACAUGAUAUGGUGGUAGACAUGAUGGUAGACAUGACAUGAUGACAUGAUAGAUUAUGUGUGUGUGUGUGUGUGUGUGUGUGUGUGUGUGUGUGUGCAUGCUGUGGCAAUGUUGACACAUCAGCUUGCUGAUAUAUUAAAUUAAAUCAUACACCAGGGAGUCAAUGUCAUCCAUCUGUUAUAUGAUGAAAGAGACGAAAAGAGUUUCCCCUCAGGGAUCAAUAAAGUAUUUCUGAUUCUGAUGGAUGAUUCAGUUUUAUUGUUGACAUACACUAUUAGUUGUAGAACUGAUCAAUACUGCACUGAUUGUGUAUGGAAAUCCCUUAAAAGGUUUCCUGUGGAGUUUUUGACCUCUAGUAGCACUAUGGAUCUGGUUUUCUAUGAGGUGGUCCCCAUUUAGUUUAUCUCAUGCACGUGCAUAAGGACACACAUGGGUGGUGGCGGGUGAUGCAAUACAUAGUCUGACCAAUGGUUUCACACUAUUCCAUUGGUCAAUACAGAUUACAUCAACUUCUGCAUAAAUAGCACCAUUCCAGGAUUCCUUGGAUCACUUCCCAAACAAAACAGAGCCUGAAGCAAAAGCACAAAGAUUUCAGACUCAAAGCCUCAAAAUGGCAAAUCGCAGAAUAAAAAACGAGGUGUUUAAGGCGAAACUGAAAUUCCAGGACAAAUUGGAAUUUGAAAUCCUAACUGGGUGUGAACCUAAACCCAACCUGUGCUAUAACCGACCCAGAAUCCUUCGCUAAAGAACUGAAUACAUUCUACGCCUGCUUCGAUACUCAGGAUUUCUCAGCUGAAUGUUAAAGAUGUUCGAGAGCUCUCCCCCCACCAGACCCUGAAGAACUGGCCUCCUUUACAGUGGAGGAGGUACGGUGCCAGCUUGGACGGUGUAAGACAGGUUCUGAAGACCCUGGAACUUUUACUAAUUCUUCACUCACUCUUCUGUGAAUCCUAGCAGACUGCCACAAUACCUACCCUCUGGUAAACUAUUACCAUAAUCCCUGUGCCCAAAAAACCCCGGCCCACAGAACUCAACAACUACUGCCCCUCACAUCAAUAAUAAUGAAGUGCCUGGAGAAGCUGUUGCUAAACAUCAUUCUGCCAGUUGUCAUCCCACAACUGGAUCCCCUCCAAUUUGCCUAUAAGGCUAAGAGAGGCACAGAGGAUGCUGUGGCCUGCCUGCAGCAACUCCCCUUCCAGCACCUGGAUUCCCCAGGCACCUUUGUCAGGAUCCUCUUCGUGGACUUCAGCUCUGCUUUUAACACCAUCCAAAGGCAUCUGAUGAUCUGGAAGCUACACCAUCUCAACACUCCCCCAUGUCUGAUCCAUCUCAUGCACAAUUUCCUGAACGACAAACUGCAGGCUGUGCGGGUGGGCAUAACCACAUCACCCAAACUCACCACUAACACCGGAGCGCAGCAGGGUUGCGUGCUGAGCCCUUUCCUGUAUACACUGUACACCAAUGACUGCACCAGUCCGUCACCCAUCACUACUUACCUCAGAUACUCAGAUGACAGCGCCAUUGUUGCCAUACUCACGGAUAACCACUAUGGACUAUCACAAUACGGCUGCACACUUCACCCAGUGGUGCAAGGAAAACCAUCUUCACCUCAUUGUCAGCAAAACAAAGAAAAUAAUAAUUGGUUCCUCCCCACCUCAGCAACCCUUUCUUAUCAAUAACCAAACAGUUGAAAUGAUAAACAGUUUCAAAUACCUCGGAGUGACACUGGACAAUAGACUCAGUUUCGACCAGCACACUCAUGACAUUAAAAAAAGGAGCCACCAAGACUAUCAGUCAUCCACAAGCUUAAAGGACUAUGUUCAUUUCAAUUCAAUUUUAUUUAUAUAGCACCAAGGUCUCGCUUAACUGGCCAGAGUGUGUACUGUUGUCUGUCAUUGUAUGUUGUUACUGUGUGAAGUUGUUGUCUGAUGUGUACAGUGCUGUGGAAAGGAAUUUCCCCUCUGAGACAAUAAAGUCUAAAGUUUAAUGGUUUCACACUAUUCCACUGAUCUACAGGCGGUAACAUACCAUGAUAUGCUGCAAUGUGCCAACAAAGGCAGGGAAGAAGAAGACUGGUAGCAGCUUUGCAAAUGUUUUAUGAUAUACAUUCAACAUGUUUGUUAGAGCUCAAGGAUACACACAAUGGGUUUGGUGAGUAAUAGUCAAUGUAAACAUAACCUUUGUUUGUUUACAAGUAAACUCCAUAGGGCAAAUUUAAAGUGACUCUGUCUGAGCUUCAAUGCUCUUUAGUGUUUCAGAAGCUUUUCCAGCUCAACAAAAUCAUAUUCUGUAAAAACAAAUACGGCACUUUCAUUUAUUAUUAUUCUUAUUGUUUCUUUCUUUCUUUUUUUUCUGAAACAUAAACUUGGAAAACACAGAAUAGAAUUU